rnacentral:rRNA from 1 species
GUGAGGAAUUUUCCGCAAUGGGCGAAAGCCUGACGGAGCAAUGCCGCGUGAAGGAUGAAGGCCUAUGGGUUGUAAACUUCUUUUCUCAGAAAAGAAUUAUGACGGUAUCUGAGGAAUAAGCAUCGGCUAACUCUGUGCCAGCAGCCGCGGUAAGACAGAGGAUGCAAGCGUUAUCCGGAAUGAUUGGGCGUAAAGCGUCUGUAGGUUGUUUAAAAAGUAUUCUGUCAAAGAUUAGGGCUUAACCCUAGAUAGGCAGAAUAAACUUUUAAGCUAGAGUUUGGUAGAGGCAGAGGGAAUUCCCGGUGGAGCGGUGAAAUGCGUAGAUAUCGGGAGGAACACCAAAGGCGAAGGCACUCUGCUGGGCCAAUACUAACACUGAGAGACGAAAGCGAGGGGAGCAAAUGGGAUUAGAAACCCGGGUAAUCC